AGCCGACAGUGGCAUACCUACAGACUGCUUUAAAUUCACACCGAAAAUACGGGACACACUAACGAGAAAACGUUGGUAUUUUAAGGAAGAUAAAGAAAAAUUAACACGCGUCCAAGUUUUCUGUAAUACGCAACAGGCACAGCGUCCAAUAACAGGAAGUCAUGAUACGUCCGUUCCCAAACAGAAACCGGUCCUC